rnacentral:tRNA from 1 species
GGGCCUAUAGCUCAGUAGGCUAGAGCGCACCCCUGACAAGGGUGAGGUCGGCGGUUCGAGUCCACCUGGGCCC